GCCUUACCUGCCCCACCCCCACCUGCCUGAGUGCUGGGAAUCUCACCUGGGCUGCUCCUUUCCAGGAAGUUGUGUCCCUCCGUGUGAGUCUGUGGAUCUAACAUCUGACCCCUGCACCUUGACCCUUCCCCGGGGAGAGGAAUGUGAGCUCCUGUGGUUCUUGCCAGCGGACAGGACAUGGGGCCAUGAUGGACGGAGACAGUGAGGGGAGACAAGGGGACCAUCUCGGAGCGGAAGGGGAUGGCGCAGAUACGGAGGAGGCCCCAGCGCCCAGUAUUGGGCCGGAGGGGACAGACGCUGAGAGGGACCAGGCGCACACGGAGCCCAGGGACAGUCUCUGUGACAGUCGAGAGCCGGGGAACGAAAGGCCAAUAACUGUAACUGGGGAAACUGGAAAUUCUGGCCCAGGGAGCAACAUGGCUACCAGCAAUAACGGAGACACGGGUCAAGGGUCACAUGACAAUGGCCCAACAACACCUCUCACCAUGGACUGCUGGGCUUCAGAAAAGGGAGAGACAGUCACUGAGCAGGGAGAGACAUUUCACAGGUGGGGAGAGGCAUUCACUGAGCCGAGGGAAACAAUCGUGGGGCAGGAGGAGACAGUCACUGAGCAGAGGGAGACAGCCACUGGGCAGGGAGAGAGUGUCACCAAUAAGGGGGAGACCACUACAGAUCAUGAAGAGACUGUCACUGAGCAAGGAGAGACAUCAAAAAUCCAGAGAGAGCCCAGUACCAAGCAGGAACAAGCAGCCACUGUCCAAGAUGAGACAGCCACAGAGCAUGUUAAGGAAGGCACCGGGCAGGGAGAGACAGUCACCGGGCAGGGAGAGACAAUCACCAAGCAGAGGGAGGCAGCCACAGAACAUGGGGAGGCAGCCACAGAGAGGGAAGAGACAACCACUAAGUUGGGAGACACAGCCAAAGAGCACAGAGAGACAGUCGCAGAGCAAAAAGAGAUGGCCACAGAGCAGAGGGAGAUUUCCACAGAGAGUGGGGAGGCAGCCACUGAAUUUGGAGGCACAGACAAUCAGUAUAGAGAGACAGCCAGAAAGCAGGGAGAGGAAAUCACUGGGCAUGGGGAGAGAUGCAUGGGGCAGGGGGAGACAGCCAUGGAGCAGGGAGAGGCCUCCACAGAGGAGGGAGAAACAGCCACGGAGCAUGGAGAGGCCUCCAAAGAGCAUGGAGAGACAGCCACGGAGCAGGGAGAGGCCUCCACAGAGCAGAGAGAGACAGCUACGGAGCAGGGAGAGGCCUCCACAGAGGAGGGAGAAACAGCCACGGAGCAUGGAGAGGCCUCCAAAGAGCAUGGAGAGACAGCCACGGAGCAGAGAGAGACAGCUACGGAGCAGGGAGAGGCCUCCACGGAGCAAGGAGAGGCCUCAACAGAGCAGGGAGAGGCCACCACGGAGCAGGGAGAGGCCACCACAGAGGAGGGAGAGACAGCCACGGAGCAGGGAGAGGCCUCAACAGAGCAGGGAGAGACAGCCACAGAGCAGGGAGAGACAGCCACGGAGCAGGGAGAGACAGCCACGGAGCAGGGAGAGACAGCCACGGAGCAGGGAGAGACAGCCACGGAGCAGGGAGAGACAGCCACGGAGCAGGGAGAGACAGCCACGGAGCAGGGAGAGACAGCCACAGAGCAGGGAGAGACAGCCACAGAGCAGGGAGAGACAGCCACAGAGCAGGGAGAGACAGCCACAGAGCAGGGAGAGACAGCCACAGAGCAGGGAGAGACAGCCACAGAGCAGGGAGAGACAGCCACAGAGCAGGGAGAGACAGCCACAGAGCAGGGAGACGCCACAGAGCAGGGAGAGACAGCCACAGAGCAGGGAGAGACAGCCACAGAGCAGGGAGAGACAGCCACAGAGCAGGGAGAGACAGCCACAGAGCAGGGAGAGAAUGCAAAAGAGCAUGAGGAGGCAGCCACAGAGAGGGAAGAGAAAGUCACUGGGCAGGGAGAGACAGCCACUGAGUUGGAAGGCACAGUCAAUGAGCAGGAUGAGACAGAAGCCACAGAGCAGAGAGAGACAGUUACUGAACAAAUGGAGGCAGACACAUAUCAUGAACAGAGAGCCACAGAGCACAGAGAGGCAGCCUCAAGGCAAAAUGAGACAGUCACUGGGCAGGGGGAGACAGUCACAGAGCUUGGAGACGCAGCCAGUGAUUAUGGAAAGGCAGUCACAGAGCAAGGAGAGAUAUUUACUGAACAGGGUGAGACAGCCACAGAGCAAGAAGAGACAGUCACAGAACAAGGAAACUCAUCCACAGAGAAGGGAGAGACAGCAACCCAACAGGGAGAGACAGUUGAUGGAAAGAGGGAUACAGCCACCAACCAGGGAAAGUCGUCCACUGAGCAGGGAGAGACAGCAACCCAACAGGAAGAGACAGUUAAUGGAAAGAGGGAAACAGCGACCAACCAGGGAAAGUCAUCCACUGAGCAGGGAGAGACAGCAACCCAACAGGGUGAGACAGCCACUGAGCAGAGACAGACAGCAAAUGAUCAUGGUAAAGAUACAUACUACAAGCAGGAAGAAAUAGAUGAUGAGCAAAGAGAGACAGUCACUAAGAAGACAGAAACAGCAGUCGUGUAUGAGCAAAAUGAGACUGAAAAUGAGCAGUGGGAAACGGCAACUGAGCUAUGGGAGACAGCCAUAGAGGAAGGAGAGACAGACGCGUGCACACAGGACAUACAUGCACUUACUGCACAGAAAACAAAGAGAGACAUGGAAGAUACUGUCAUACAGACUAGAAGAGAGACACUAAGUGAAGACAGUGAAGAAUGGGAAACUGCCAGUGAUGACAGCAUAGACAGACCAAUAUUAGGUGUUGCUGGAGGAGUACAGAAUGAAGAGACUGUCGAUGGGGGUAUGAGAGACGUCAGGGAGAUUCAAGAGACUCUAAGGCAGGGAGAAGUGAGAGGCAGUAAAAAGCUAGACACAAUAAUAUAUGGCAUCCAAAUUGAAGAGACAGUGUCAGACACUAUUAGGGAGCGAGAGACUGCUCAACAAGAGAUGAGAGAGCAAAGAGCUGCAGAGACUGAGGACACACUGGCCAUGAAUAAUGAGGACAAUGUGCUGCAAACCAUUGGGGCAACAGGGGCAGGUACGGCAGGAAGAGUUACUGCCCCCGAGAUGGGAGAACAGGAGAUUAAGGGGGCAGCAAUGAUAACAGGUGAACUAUGGGACUCGUUAGAGCCGAGGAAGGAAAAACUAGAGUUUGCAGAUAUUCCUGGGGAAUGGCGAGAAGAAGGGACUGUAAGUGGCCAAGAGGGAGGUCUGUGCAACCUGUUGGAGACAGAUACAGGGGUCCAAGGGAAAGGUUUACCAUCUGGUAAUGUUACCAAGCAAAGUAUCGAUCAUGGAACAGAUGAGAUUGGGCAAAAAUACCCAGAAAUUAUAGUUACUGCCAUAGAAGAGAAAGAGAGUGAGGCACAUUCAAUAGAUGAAGCCUCUGGCUCUCCACAAGCUUUGGUGGAACCUUUUGACCAUGGAACCCAAAGCAAUGUUCCUGCAGAAUUGAGCUUCAGUUUUGAUUUACAAGAUCAGAUGAGUGGAGACAUCCACCGAGGCCCCAUCUAUGGAGAGCCCAAUAGCGAUAUCGAUUUCCAGCCCAAUCAAACACGAACAAGCCAAAGUUCCUACUCGGAUGUUUUCAGUCCCACCUGCCCAAACGUUGACCAAGCAGAGCCAGAAGGGUAUGAACAAAAUGAGAUGCCUCAACUUCAACUUAGUGGUCAUUAUACCGAUGAGUUAUGUCCCUAUCGGGGGGAAAAGGCUUUGUGUCCAGAUGUCCUCCCAAGAUCAGCUCCAUACGGCACAGACCCAAAUAACGAUGGGAACCAUGAGAUCAGUGGAACAUGCGAGGGCUCACAAGGGGCAGAUAGCAAGGUAGUAAGUCAGACUCCGGCAGCACUGGGUAUUUUACAAGAGGCAGCUGGGACUGUGGCCUUGGAGAGAUCCAAAGAAAUAUCAUUAGAGAGUACAGAAGGAUUCAAAUCCAAAAAGACAGAUACCUACCUCUCAGAACAUCCCAUGGAUAAGGAUGAGACCAUCACGGAUGUGAGAACUGCCAUGGGAGAAAGUGAGGACCAAGUCAUGGAAAAUAAAACACAGGAAAUAACUAGGCAAUGGGGUACUAGUGAAUCUAGGGGGGCAGCAGAACUCGGCUCCAUGCAGUCUGACCCUCACAAUCAGGGUUCUUUCCAAAAGAUCAGAAUAGUGACUAUCACCCCACCAAUGGACACAAAAAAAAACACUAGAGAAACUGUCAGUCUCUCUACAUAUAGCCCACAUUUAGGGCAUGAAAGGGGUAAUAUAACUGGCUCAGACGUAAGGGAAACAGAAUCCAGGAAGAAGUCCUAUUUCUACCCCACUCACAUUUCAAAUCCCAUGCUGAAUUUGUUUGGCAGCCCAGAACAGUUGGGCUUCUACAGUGAAGGGCUCAUCCCUGAAGGGAACAUAGACAUGGACCUUCCAGGAACCCAGCAUGGUGGGUCUUUUGGGAAGUCCCAUUGUUCUCCUGAUACAAAUGCCAGCAAGAAACCCUUAGGUCUAUCAGUAACUCCACUGUGGGUCACUCCCCAAGGGAUACGGUAUUCAGACGGCUCAGACAAAGGGUAUACAAUAAAAGAGCCACAAGAGAGUUUUCUGGUGAGACGACCCACAAUCAGACAUAAGAAGAAGGGCACCUAUCAAGUGACGGGCACGAAGAAAAGGCACGGUACUAUAAUAACUUCUACAGUGGGUGAACAAGAACCUACAAGGGACUCUGGGAAUAGCGGCCAACCCACAGGACCAUCCUUCUCUGCCAUUAACAUGAGACCUGCUUCCCCUCAGACUCGGCUGCGGUUCCGACCUUCGGAGGCCAUAUCUGAGAAUGAACAAUCAGAUGAUACCUCGAGCCAAGAGAACCUCGCUGAUGAAGAAGAGCCAAUCAAAAAAGAAAGGCCUGCCAGAAGGUCGGACUCCGUCUUCCUCCGGGAGAAACAUGGCCAGAAGACCCUGGACCAGUCGCUAGCUUACCGGCGUAAAUCCCAGUUCUACGGCGCAUCCAAAGUCCUGUACCAGGAAUACAGCGAUGAAGCUCUUAACCAGGCCAUCAAAAACCAGAGGCCCGAGUCACCAAGACUACGCCGGAGGGAAUCCCAAGACUCCUACCUGCGGCGCCUCUCCAUGUCCUCCGCCGACUCCCUGUGGCAGGACAUACCUGAGAUACGUGGCAGCGUGGGGUUCCUCUCAAUGUCACGGGAUGAGCAGAAGUUACAGGAGGCCAAGUUUGAGCUGAUCAUGUCGGAGGCGCUGUACCUGCGCAGCCUGAAUAUAGCUGUGGAUCACUUUCAGUGCAACCCGGACCUGCAGGAAGUUCUGCUUGCCCAGGAUCGGCAGUGGCUUUUCUCCCGCAUGUCCGAAGUGCGAGACGCCAGUUCUGAGUUCCUAUUUGAUCUGGAGGAUGAGUUCCAGAGAAACAAGUACAACUUCCAAGUCUGCAAUAUGGUGAUCAACAAUGAGCCGAACUUCCGACGAGUCUACCUGCCUUAUGUCACCAACCAGUCCUACCAGGAGAGGACCUUCCAGAGGCUGCAGAAUGACAACCCACGGUUCCAGCAGGUUCUAUCAAGGCUGGAGAGCGACCCAGUGUGCCAGAGACUUGGGCUCAAAUCCUUCCUGAUCCUUCCGUUCCAGAGGAUCAUUCGGCUGCGGCUGCUGCUCCAGAACAUCCUAAAGCGUUCCGCCCCAGGGUCUGUUGAUGAACUGCAGGCAACUCAAGCACAUAAUGCCGUGGAGAAGCUGAUUAGAGACUGCAAUGAGAGUGUUCAGAGGAUGAAGGACACAGAAGAGCUGAUCCAUCUCAACCAGAAGAUCCAGUUUGAAUGCAAGAUAUUCCCCCUCAUCUCCCAGUCGCGCCGGCUGAUCAAACACAGUGAGGUCUCGGCGCUUGAAAUGAACUCUCUCAGCUUCAAACUGAAGAUCACGCGCUCUGUCUACUUGCAUCUCUUCAAUGACUGUCUGCUGCUGUCUCGGAUCAGAGAGGGCGGGCGCUUCCUGGUGUUUGAUUACGCUCACGCGGCCGACGUGCAAGUGGAACGAUGUGAGAAGAGAAUUCAUGGGAACCAAAAGAACAUUUUCUGUAUCUCCCUGAGAGACAAUGCAGCCGGGAGUCCUGAUGGGAGAAGGGUGGAAUAUUUCUUCCGUACAGACACACAGAGUCAGAAACUAAGAUGGAUCUCAGCUCUAUCCCCUCCCAAAGAAGAGCUGGACCUCUUUAAAUAUCACGGCCUCUCACAGAUGCUUUGCUUGAAGUCGUACAAAGCCAAAGAAAACGAUGAGCUCUCGCUGGAGAAAGCGGAUAUCAUUUUUGUGAGACAGAGCAGUGAGGAUGGCUGGCUCCAGGGCGUGCGUCUCUCAGACAUGCAGUCGGGGUGGUUCCCAUUGUCGCACGUGCAGCCCGUCAGUCGCAACGCCUGUCUCCGGAACCUGGAGGAAGAACAGCGGUUACAGACUGCCAGGGCCAAGCUGCAGCUGCCCGCCCCCUAGUGACCCCGCCUCUCCUUUACUUUCCCUUUAAAUAGCAUAUAAGGCCAUAGCUGAUUGUAUAUUUGUGGGUGGGAAGUUGCCUUUGCUGAUUGAGCUUAAAUAUCCUCCAUAAGAACAAGCACCCCCUAGUGGCCACAUAUAUAUAUGGUGCUUUCCCUAUGGAGAUUUCUACUAUAUUAUUAACUUUAUUGUAUGUUCUCAGGAGCAGGGCCCCCUCCAUCUCUCAGUCAGUAUUUUAUAAACGAUUAACCCUUGCUGCUUUUAAUUGUACAGAGUCAGUGAAUAGGCCUCCGUAUCAAGAAUACAUGCUUCCACAAAAUGGGUUUACUUACCCUUUAAUAUAGGAUUUCCCAGUUUGCUCCACAGAGCACCGCACCCAUUGCUUUCUGAUCAGCGGGCUUUCCCAGCAGCCCCGGGUUGGUACCCAUAAUGCACUGUACAUGAUACCGCAGAUCCUUCUUAUCAAUGCAACAAUCAGUCUUUCACCAGAUGUGCAGAUUUCUAUUUAUAUUUUUAAUAAAAUAACUAUUGAUCGA